rnacentral:rRNA from 1 species
GACGAAUGCUGGCGGCGUGCUUAACACAUGCAAGUCGAACGGAAAGGCCUGCUUUCCCUUGUGGAUUGCGGGUACUCGCGUGGCGAACGGGUGAGUAACACGUGCGCGUGCUUCCCCCAACUUUUGUAUAAGCCUGGGAAACUGGGUCUAAUGCCCGAUAGGACUGCAGGGGGGUGCCUGAGGUGUAAAACGAUUGUCUAGUGGUUGGGGAUGAGCUCGCGGCCUAUCAGCUUGUUGGUGGGGUAGUGGUCUACCGAGGCGGCGACGGGGAGCCGGCCUGGGGGGGUGGACCGCAGCAGUGGGACUGCGAUACGGCGCCGGCACCUACGCGCGGCCGCAGUGGGGACGAUGGAGUGGUGGGUGUAGGACUGAUGGAGCGAGGCCGCGUGGGGGACGACGGGCGUCGGGUUGUAACCUCCGGUCGGCCGAGAGGAAGCCACUUUGUUGGAAGGGUGGUGACGGUAGUGGGAGAAGAAGCACCGGCUAACUACGUG